CCGACGGUGAGGGGCGAAAGCUGGGGGAGCAAACCGGAUUAGAUACCCGGGUAGUCCCAGCUGUAAACUAUGCAAACUCAGUGAUGCAUUGGCUUGUGGCCAAUGCAGUGCUGCAGGGAAGCCGUUAAGUUUGCCGCCUGGGAAGUACGUACGCAAGUAUGAAACUUAAAGGAAUUGGCGGGGGAGCACCACAAGGGGUGAAGCCUGCGGUUCAAUUGGAGUCAACGCCAGAAAUCUUACCCGGAGAGACAGCAGAAUGAAGGUCAAGCUGAAGACUUUACCAGACAAGCUGAGAGGUGGUGCAUGGCCGUCGCCAGCUCGUGCCGUGAGAUGUCCUGUUAAGUCAGGUAACGAGCGAGAUCCCUGCCUCUAGUUGCCACCAUUACUCUCAGGAGUAGUGGGGCGAAUUAGCGGGACCGCCGCAGUUAAUGCGGAGGAAGGAAGGGGCCACGGCAGGUCAGUAUGCCCCGAAACUCUGGGGCCACACGCGGGCUGCAAUGGUAACGACAAUUGGUUUCGAAUCCGAAAGGAUGAGGUAAUCCUCAAACGUUACCACAGUUAUGACUGAGGGCUGCAACUCGCCCUCACGAAUAUGGAAUCCCUAGUAACUGCGUGUCAUUAUCGCGCGGUGAAUACGUCCCUGCUCCUUGCACUCACCGCCCGU
rnacentral:rRNA from 1 species